rnacentral:rRNA from 1 species
AUGGUGAGUGCAGAUGCUGAAGUAAAUAUGGUCAAGGAAGCUGUGCUUCAAACUGAUAUGCCAACUGUAGUGAGCAGAGAGAUAACCAAUGUCAGAGAAGUUCAACAGAUCAAGGGGAAGACUCCCCUUUCAACAGUCCCACCAAAACCACCUAAGCAAAAGAUUGUCAAGUUUGCCAGGGGAGCAAAGGGGGAACAUGCCACAAAAGAUUUGGGGUUCAGAGACGAGAGAGAGCUGCGAGCCGCAGCCAUUGAUGCAGGGGUGCCAAGUUCUGCUAGGUUGCUGCCAACUCAGACUGGAAAGAUGCCAACUACAGAUACCAGUGUGCCAACUGAUGUGUCAGUUAGCAGCAUGGUCACAGUCAAAACCACCACAGCUGGUCAGGAAGGCACCAUUGCAACUGCAAGUCCCAAGGUGCCUACUCAUAGAGAUACUUCAAUGCCAAACACAAAAGGAGGUGAUCCAACUAUCAAAGUGCCGUCCCCAAGAGCUGACUUUCAGCAACCAUUAACACAAGAGGAGGUGUUUGACAUUAUAAGUAGGUGCAAGCCUCCAAGGCCGCCAACUACAACACUAUUGCGAACCAAGUCAGUGAAUGAUGCACCCGUGUUUGUGCCGCAAGGAGAUGCCCUGGUCCUUGAACCCUUACGAAGAUCAAACUCUUAUCAUGGUGACGGGUUCUGCGAUGCACCAUCUUUUGACCUCGACAUAGAUGGUGAUGCUCCAGCACCUGCUCCAGCAGCAGAAACAGCGAAAGCCGGUGUGAUCUGCAUCGAUGAGUCAUCUCAAAGGUCUCCAUUCAUCGACUACAACAAGAAGAAGACUUUCAGCACCAAUGAGGUAGUGAACAAGCUUUACGCCGCCCUCUUGUAUUGGGUCAGGCAUCACAAAGGAGCAAAUGAUGGAGCUACCAGGUAUGGUGCUUUCUACAUUUCUUUAAAGGAGUUAGUUUAUUCGAUGAAGCCGGCUCAAUGGUUGUCAAAAAUUGUUAUUGAGACUGGAAUCUUACACAUCAUGGAUAACUUACCAGAAGGGUCAAAGAAGGUUGUUAUGCCACUGAGGUUUUUUAUAAAAUUAUAG